GAACCUAAACAACUCAAGAACACAAGGCAACAUGAACAAUUGAAAAAGAAGAAAGGAAGGAGAAGAGAGUGCUCAUGAAGAUGGAAGAAUGUUGGAUGAUCUCGCCACUAGAAGUGUGGAAUGCUCCUAGAUGAGAGUGAUGCCGCCACUUGAGGACUCCAAUGAUCCAUCAAGAUAAGACUAGAGAAGAAGGCUCCAAAAGCUCUCCAAAGGUCACUCAAAAUUUGAGUAGAGUUUUCUUAGAUUAAUUCCAAUCUGAAUUUUACAAAGAGAGCACCUCUAUUUAUAGCCUAAGGUGCUG
rnacentral:lncRNA from 1 species